rnacentral:rRNA from 1 species
AUGAACGCUAGCGGCAGGCCUUCACAUGCAAGUCGAGGGGUAAGGUUCAGCUUGCUGAACACACGACCGGCGCACGGGUGAGUAACACGUUUGCAACCUACCUCUAACUGGGGGAUAGCCCGAAGAGAUUCGGAUUAAUACCCCAUAAGGUUAAUUUGAGGCAUCUCAAAUUGAUUAAAGCUCCGGCGGUUAGAGAUGGGCAUGCGUGUCAUUAGCUAGUUGGUGAGGUAACGGCUCACCAAGGCCACGAUGACUAGGGGGUCUGAGAGGAUGAUCCCCCACACUGGUACUGAGACACGGACCAGACUCCUACGGGAGGCAGCAGUGAGGAAUAUUGGGCAAUGGACGCAAGUCUGACCCAGCCAUGCCGCGUGCAGGAUGACUGCCCUAUGGGUUGUAAACUGCUUUUGUUUGGGAAGAACUCCCCGAUCGUGAUCGGGGCUGACGGUACCUUACGAAUAAGCAUCGGCUAACUCCGUGCCAGCAGCCGCGGUAAUACGGAGGAUGCAAGCGUUAUCCGGAUUCAUUGGGUUUAAAGGGUGCGCAGGCGGAAUAUUAAGUCAGUGGUGAAAUCCUGCAGCUUAACUGUAGAACUGCCAUUGAUACUGGUAUUCUUGAAUGUAGUUGAGGUGGGCGGAAUGUGUAAUGUAGCGGUGAAAUGCUUAGAUAUUACACAGAACACCAAUUGCGAAGGCAGCUCACUAAACUAUGAUUGACGCUGAGGCACGAAAGCGUGGGUAGCAAACAGGAUUAGAUACCCUGGUAGUCCACGCCGUAAACUAUGAUCACUCGCUGUUGGCAAUACAUCGUCAGC